ACUGCUUUCGGCCCCAGCUGGCUGUGGAAAAAAAAAUAUAGACAGAGGCAAACCAAAGGCAAGACAAAUUACAGAACUGAGAUUACAUUUGCAAAGCUUAACUGUCCAGUAAGAUCCAACAGUGUGCCUUUGUGACCUCGGAGCCAGUGUGGCUUGGUGACACUGAAGAAGCCAGAAGCAGCCGAGCUGGACUGGAAUCUCUGAAAGAGACGCCGCAGGAGAUUCCAGGGUGUAAAAGAACAGCCCUCCCAACAGCGGAAGCAUGUUGGAAAUUCUGGACAAGCUGUAUGCAGGAUAAUCUCCCGUCCACCUCUCCCCCUUCUCUGAACACUAUACACAGAAGUGGCCAGUCUGGACGUACGUGUGUAAAGAAGCGCUACCCAAAGACCCUAGCAGCCCUGCCACUCCUUGAAACCAGGAGAAUGGAUCUAUGUAAGGGUCCACGAACAAAAGACUGCUUUGGCUCCAUGCUGGAAAGGCCCUUAUUAAGUCCUGCUGACUACCAACACCGCUGUGAAGUGCCAAAGACUGACUGCUUGGACCCAUGAUUCUCACUGCAAAAAGACCCUUCCACCUCGGGAGGAUUCUCCUACCGAUGAUUAGCCUAUUUCUCCUUCUGUGCCUUCUAGACAGCAGGGAAAAAGGACAAGGUGAAGUGCUAGUAACCUCUCCCUUGUCCACUGACAGAUCUACUGUGCCUUUGGAUUUUUCUAGAAGUAAAACCUUUACAGGGUGAUGUGCUGGUAACCUCUCCCCUGUAGGAUGCUGAACCAUGAUUGCUUCAGGAAAGAAGGAACACUUGCUCCACUGAAAUUGCCAAAGUCCAGGAAUUCCUGACUAGAAAGGACAUUAAGAACUGAUCCUGGUGAAGAAACAAAGAAUUAUACACUGGCAGGAAGAAAUUUGUGGAACCCAUGCUUGGGAAUGUGGUAUUGAUUAUGUUGUUUUGGGGUUUAUUCUACAGGCUGCGCCCUGUGUUUUAGAUAAAUCCUUCAGCAUGUAUUGCCCUCUGUAAUUGGAUUUCAAAUGGCAAGUACCAAAGGCACCUUGUUGCCAUUGCCUCUGCCAUCUCCUCCAUUACACUAUUACCCAUGUAAAACAUCCAAAUACAGAUACUGCUAUAUACCAAUGGCCAAGGCCUUCAUAUUUCAGUGAUUUAUUUAAAGAUUGUUUGGAAAAGAAAAAAUAUAUGAGAUAUCCUGAACUUUAAAAAUAAGUGAACAAUUGAGUGGAGAAUAAAUGGAUCAAUGGAAAUAGAAAUCUAUGACAUCAUUAUAAAUGAACCCCAAGAAUCUGAAUUGAAAUUGAUGGGUUCCACAGUGAAGUAGAUAUGAUGGUUAUUCCUGGAAUUUGUACUCUUACAUGAAAGAAGCCCUUAUUGUUAUUUGGUCACCCAAUUAGUGAUUAAUUAAACAAAUACCCAAAGAGUUAGUUCUGCCACUGGAAAUUUUACCUGUAUUGAAAUUAUUCCAGUGAUUAAUAAUGUAGUCUGUACCUUAUUGCAAUACACCCCCUCCUAUGCUAUUAAUGUUAAUGCCUCUUAAAAGUACCUGAGAAUAGUUAAAGAACAGAUGUGAUAUAGUACUACACCAAAGAGAGAUGUAUUAGGAUAUCAAUGGACUGUGAUUAAUACAACACUAGGGACUGUCAAGUUUACCUAAAUUGCCUUUAUCUAAUUUUCAAAUCAUCUCUACAUACCUAAAUUGCUCACAAGGGGCUGCCAUUAGAUUAGCGCAACAGAGGGCCUGGGUUAUUUCCUCUGGAAGAAGAGGAACUUGACCAGAUCCCUAUGGGAUGGAGCCAAUAGUGCAGCAGCCAUCUGGAAUAUUCUUAAAAACCAAGAACAUGAUGAGAAAUUGGGCCAACUAGAAAAGGCCACUAGCCUUAUUUCUGGAGCUUAGCUAACCCAAGUACAGGCUGGAGUUGAUGAUUUACAUGUCAUUUCCACCCUUAAUUCAAUGACCCAGAAGUUACUGACAGAGAUGGUGUUAAAAAUCACUGAGGCUGGGAAGGCAUUGCAGUGGGAUCUAGCUUGUUCAGGAAUUUGGGAUUUCCUGAAUGACCAGCUGAUGGCCAUUCGGAGUGAUCUGGAGCACCAGGCUUGGCCCACUGCCCUUACAGAUCAUCUGAUCUGUGGCCUUGGAGACAUACUUGGACACUUUCUGCGUGGAAGUGUGGACAUUCACAGUGCUCCUCCCAAGAAUUUGGACUGGUUAGGGGGGUGUGGGCUCCCACAUACCGAAUCCUGACAGGUCCAUGGGGAGGAUGCAUGUGGGACUGGAUUAUUCACCGUGACAUCUGGGAAAUUAGACCACCUGGUAUACCUAACUGAUUUAUAGUCAGUGCCCCUAGAAUAACACCUGAUAUUUUGGGUAGGAAUAGGGAGUCAAUGGACAUUUGGCUGUUAGAAACCCUACAGCUUCAGUGUAUCCAUAAACUGAAGCCAGGGGAAGUUGUCACUGUUCAUGAUGACAUUUGCUGGGAGGGUAGAGGACAAGGAACUAUCCUGACAGGACAACUACUUUUUCAAGCUAAUGAUAGCUGUGUUUAUGUUAAAACCACCACAUUGCAAGAUAUACAUCUUAAUCUUAUUACCACUGCAGGCAAUCAUAUUGUUUAUUGGCCUGCAAAUAGAAUUUUGCAAGUAGCCCUUAGUUUCCAAAUACCCUUUAACUGGACCAGCUUAGUACCAAAUCAAUUUCAAAAUUUGCUUUCAUUGUUACCAAAGGUUCAAAAAAAUCUCUAAAAUAUAAGGGCAAAUUCACAUGCUUCAAAAUAUAUAUCAAGCUGAAAAGAAUGCCUUUCAUACAGCUUAUAGAGUGUCUACUUUAUGUACUAAGUAUAAUAUAUUGUUCUUUGUGACCAAAACUGUACAACAACCCCAUCAUAUUAUUGCUAUGAGAAUGUUAUUGCCUGUAUUGCUGUUAGUUAGUUUAGGAUUAUGUUGUUGUUGUUGU